rnacentral:rRNA from 1 species
ACGCUGGCGGCAGGCCUAACACAUGCAAGUCGAGCGGUAACAGGAAGUAGCUUGCUACUUCGCUGACGAGCGGCGGACGGGUGAGUAAUGCCUGGGAAUAUGCCUUGAUGUGGGGGAUAACUAUUGGAAACGAUAGCUAAUACCGCAUAAUGCCUACGGGCCAAAGAGGGGGAUCUUCGGACCUCUCGCGUCAAGAUUAGCCCAGGUGGGAUUAGCUAGUUGGUGGGGUAAAGGCUCACCAAGGCGACGAUCCCUAGCUGGUCUGAGAGGAUGAUCAGCCACACUGGAACUGAGACACGGUCCAGACUCCUACGGGAGGCAGCAGUGGGGAAUAUUGCACAAUGGGGGAAACCCUGAUGCAGCCAUGCCGCGUGUAUGAAGAAGGCCUUCGGGUUGUAAAGUACUUUCAGCAGUGAGGAAGGUGGURRUGUUAAUAGCRYYAUCAUUUGACGUUAGCUGCAGAAGAAGCACCGGCUAACUCCGUGCCAGCAGCCGCGGUAAUACGGAGGGUGCGAGCGUUAAUCGGAAUUACUGGGCGUAAAGCGCAUGCAGGCGGUCUGUUAAGCAAGAUGUGAAAGCCCGGGGCUCAACCUCGGAACAGCAUUUUGAACUGGCAGACUAGAGUCUUGUAGAGGGGGGUAGAAUUUCAGGUGUAGCGGUGAAAUGCGUAGAGAUCUGAAGGAAUACCGGUGGCGAAGGCGGCCCCCUGGACA